GAUCACGGACUCACCUUGAUGCUGGUAUUGCUCGAAUUAAAUGCUGCUGCGGUGAAUGUUGCUGUUGAUGUUGCUGCUGCUGCUGCUGUUGGUGCUGCUGCUGCUGCUGCUGCUGCUGCUGCUGUUGCUGCUGCUGUUGGUGGUGUUGCUGCAACGAGUUACUUGCCACUGCAGCUGCGGCUGCCGCUGCCGCAGCCACCACCGUGUUC
rnacentral:sRNA from 1 species